AUUGAACGCUGGCGGCAGGCCUAACACAUGCAAGUCGAGCGGAGUGGCCGACGGGUGAGUAAUGCCUAGGAAGCUGCCUGGUAGUGGGGGAUAACGUCAGGAAACGGGCGCUAAUCCCGCAUACUGUCAGAUGAGCCUGGGUCGGCUUAGCUAGUUGGUGGGGUAAAGGCCUACCAUGGCGACGAUCCGUAACUGGUCUGAGAGGAUUCUCAGUCACACUGGAACGGAGACCCGGUCCAGACUCCUACGGGAGGCAGCAGUGGGGAAUAUUGGACAAGGGGCGAAAGCCUGAUCCAGCCAUGCCGCGUGUGUGAAGAAGGUCUUCGGAUUGUAAAGCUCUUUAAGUUGGGAGGCGUUACCAACAGAAUAAGCACCGGCUAACUUCGUGCCAGCAGCCGCGGUAAUUC
rnacentral:rRNA from 1 species